rnacentral:rRNA from 1 species
UACGUAGGGUGCAAGCGUUAUCCGGAAUUAUUGGGCGUAAAGAGCUCGUAGGCGGUUUGUCGCGUCUGCUGUGAAAACUGGAGGCUCAACCUCCAGCCUGCAGUGGGUACGGGCAAACUAGAGUGCGGUAGGGGAGAUUGGAAUUCCUGGUGUAGCGGUGAAUGCGCAGAUAUCAGGAGGAACACCGAUGGCGAAGGCAGAUCUCUGGGCCGUAACUGACGCUGAGGAGCGAAAGCAUGGGGAGCGAACAGG